rnacentral:rRNA from 1 species
CACGUAGGGGACGAGCGUUGUCCGGAUUCAUUGGGCGUAAAGCGCGCGUAGGCGGCUCGGAAAGUCGGUCGUGAAAUGCCGGGGCUCAACCCCGGGACUGCGUCCGAUACUCCCGAGCUGGAGGCAGGUAGGGGAGAUCGGAAUUCCUGGUGUAGCGGUGAAAUGCGUAGAUAUCAGGGGGAAUACCGAUGGCGAAGGCGGUACUCUGGGCUAACACUGACGCUGAGGUGCGAAAGCGUGGGGAGCAAACGGG